CUCCCCUUUCUGACACCUUCCUAGGAGGGAACCAACGAGGUGACACAAUUGUAUUAACAGACAGAUGAACUGACAUUUUUGAGAGUGGCCAAGAAAAUGUUACCAUUCAUAAUUCCUGCAGGAAAAAUAUUAAUUUUUUGUCCUAUGUGGUGCUGUGGCAUCCAUGCAAGAAUAAAAUGAAUCCCAGCCAAUCUGAAAAAAAAAACAAAAACAGAGGUGGUAUCUGCUGUGUGCUCUAUUCUGGGUGAGCUAAGUGCUGUUUUGGCGAGUUUUUCAUGCUUCAUAAUGCACAGA
rnacentral:lncRNA from 1 species